GCAGUGGUGGUUCAGUGGUACCAUUCUUGCCUUUCAUGCAAGAGACCUGGGUUCAAUUCACAGCCAAUGCA